UAUCGCGAAGAACCUUACCUACUCUUGACAUCCAGAGAACUUCCAGAGAUGGAUUGGUUGCUUCGGGAACUCUGAGACAGGUGCUGCAUGGCUGUCGUCAGCUCGUGUUGUGAAAUGUUGGGUUAAGUCCCGCAACGAGCGCAACCCUUUAUCCUUUGUUGCCAGCGGUUCGGCCGGGAACUCAAAGGAGACUGCCAGUGAUAAACUGGAGGAAGGUGGGGAUGACGUCAAGUCAUCAUGGCCCUUACGAGUAGGGCUACACACGUGCUACAAUGGCGCAUACAAAGAGAAGCGACCUCGCGAGAGCAAGCGGACCUCAUAAAGUGCGUCGUAGUCCGGAUUGGAGUCUGCAACUCGACUCCAUGAAGUCGGAAUCGCUAGUAAUCGUAGAUCAGAAAUAUAC
rnacentral:rRNA from 1 species